rnacentral:rRNA from 1 species
UCGCGAGAAGUUACACUGAGCCUUAUCAUUGAGAGGAAGGAGAAGUCGUAACAAGGUUUCCGUAGGUGAACCUGCGGAAGGAUCAUUGAUGCUCGCUCGAA